UCCUGGCUCAGGAUGAACGCUGGCGGCGUGCCUAACACAUGCAAAGUCGAACGAAGCACUUCUGAUCGGAGAUUCGUCGAAGAUUGGAUUUGACUUAGUGGCGGACGGGUGAGUAACGCGUGAGCAACCUGCCUUUCAGAGGGGGAUAACAGUUGGAAACGACUGCUAAUACCGCAUAACAUAAGAUCAUCGCAUGGUGAUUUUAUCAAAGCUGAGGCGCUGAAAGAUGGGCUCGCGUCCGAUUAGAUAGUUGGUGGGGUAACGGCCUACCAAGUCGACGAUCGGUAGCCGGACUGAGAGGUUGAACGGCCACAUUGGGACUGAGACACGGCCCAGACUCCUACGGGAGGCAGCAGUGGGGGAUAUUGCACAAUGGGCGAAAGCCUGAUGCAGCAACGCCGCGUGAGGGAAGACGGUUUUCGGAUUGUAAACCUCUGUCUUUGGUGAAGAAGAAAGUGACGGUAGCCAAGGAGGAAGCCACGGCUAACUACGUGCC
rnacentral:rRNA from 1 species